UAGCGGCGGACGGGUGAGUAACACGUGGAUAACCUACCUAUAAGACUGGGAUAACUUCGGGAAACCGGAGCUAAUACCGGAUGAUAUUUUGAACCGCAUGGUUCAAAAGUGAAAGACGGUCUUGCUGUCACUUAUAGAUGGAUCCGCGCUGCAUUAGCUAGUUGGUAAGGUAACGGCUUACCAAGGCAACGAUGCAUAGCCGACCUGAGAGGGUGAUCGGCCACACUGGAACUGAGACACGGUCCAGACUCCUACGGGAGGCAGCAGUAGGGAAUCUUCCGCAAUGGGCGAAAGCCUGACGGAGCAGCGCCGCGUGAGUGAUGAAGGUCUUCGGAUCGUAAAACUCUGUUAUUAGGGAAGAACAUAUGUGUAAGUAACUGUGCACAUCUUGACGGUACCUAAUCAGAAAGCCACGGCUAACUACGUGCCAGCAGCCGCGGUAAUACGUAGGUGGCAAGCGUUAUCCGGAAUUAUUGGGCGUAAAGCGCGCGUAGGCGGUUUUUUAAGUCUGAUGUGAAAGCCCACGGCUCAACCGUGGAGGGUCAUUGGAAACUGGAAAACUUGAGUGCAGAAGAGGAAAGUGGAAUUCCAUGUGUAGCGGUGAAAUGCGCAGAGAUAUGGAG
rnacentral:rRNA from 1 species